GUUGGGCGCUAGGUGUGGGGAACUUUCCACGUUCUCCGUGCCGCAGCUAACGCAUUAAGCGCCCCGCCUGGGGAGUACGGCCGCAAGGCUAAAACUCAAAGGAAUUGACGGGGGCCCGCACAAGCGGCGGAGCAUGUGGCUUAAUUCGACGCAACGCGAAGAACCUUACCAAGGCUUGACAUAUGGCGAAAACUGGCAGAGAUGUCAGGUCCGCAAGGGCGCCAUACAGGUGGUGCAUGGCUGUCGUCAG
rnacentral:rRNA from 1 species